rfam:Bacteroidetes bacterium GWF2_41_31 gwf2_scaffold_848, whole genome shotgun sequence.
AUGAUGUGGAGACCAGAAACCACUUAAAAGAACGGGGCGAACCUACCAAGCCAAAUGAGUAGGUAAAUA